GAUGAACGCUAGCGGCAGGCCUAACACAUGCAAGUCGAGGGGCAGCACAGAAACAGCAAUGUUUUGGUGGCGACCGGCGGACGGGUGCGUAACGCGUAUGCAACCUACCUUUAACAGGGGGAUAACGGAGAGAACUUUCCACUAAUACCCCAUAACAUCGAUCAAGGCAUCUUGAUUGAUUGAAAACUCCGGUGGUUAAAGAUGGGAAUGCGUUGUAUUAGGUAGUUGGUGAGGUAAUGGCUCACCAAGCCUACGAUACAUAGGGGGACUGAGAGGUUAGCCCCCCACACUGGUACUGAGACACGGACCAGACUCCUACGGGAGGCAGCAGUGAGGAAUAUUGGUCAAUGGGGGCAACCCUGAACCAGCCAUGCCGCGUGCAGGAAGACGGCUCUAUGAGUUGUAAACUGCUUUUAAACAGGGAUAAAGCACAGUAUGUAUACUGUGUUGAAGGUACUGUAAGAAUAAGGAUCGGCUAACUCCGUGCCAGCCGCCGCGGUAA
rnacentral:rRNA from 1 species